rnacentral:rRNA from 1 species
UUCAGACGAUGCGUCAUGCAUAUCAAUAAGCGGAGGAAAAGAAAACUAACAAGGAUUCCCCUAGUAACGGCGAGUGAAGCGGGAAGAGCUCAAAUUUGAAAUCUUAAAGGGUUUUCCCUUUACGAAUUGUAGUUUAAAGAAGUGUUUUUCUGUUGAGGUUUUUGGUAAAAGUUCUUUGGAAUAGGACAUCAUAGAGGGUGAGAAUCCCGUAUUUGACCUUUACUUUCAACUUUGUGAUACACUUUCAAAGAGUCGGAUUGUUUGGGAAUGCAGUCCAAAAUGGGUGGUAAAUUUCAUCUAAAGCUAAAUAUUGGCGAGAGACCGAUAGCGAACAAGUACCGUGAGGGAAAGAUGAAAAGAAACUUUGAAAAGAGAGUUAAAAUAGUACGUGAAAUUGUCAAAAGGGAAGCGUUUUGACACCAGUGUUGUUUUUUCUGAAAAUCAAUUAAAGAAACUGUUUAUGCUAAGUUGUUUUAGACUUUAUCAGCUAACUGUUUUAGUUUUUGAGCUUUUCUUUAAUGCACUUUUUCAGUUAACAAGUCAACAUCAAUUUCUUUUGCUGUAAAAAAAGCUUGAGGAAGGUGGCUUGAGAUUCGUCUUAAGUGUUUUAUAGCCUCUUGCCUAUGCAGUCGGAGAGAUUGAGGUCUGCAGCGUAGAUCCUUCGGGGCUAAAUGCAUUUGUGCUAAGUUAUAGCAUUUUUAUAGACAACUUGUUGACUAUGAUUUGUCUUGUAGCUUACUCGCUUAUGUUAUUUUACCUACGCUUAGGAUGUUGAGCGCAUGUCUCUCUCU